rnacentral:rRNA from 1 species
GACGAACGCUGGCGGCGUGCCUAACACAUGCAAGUCGAACGGGGUGAGAUCCUUCGGGAUUUCACUUAGUGGCGAACGGGUGAGUAACGCGUGAGGAACCUGCCUUUCAGUGGGGGACAACAGUUGGAAACGACUGCUAAUACCGCAUAAUGUUAUUUGGGGGCAUCCCCGAAUAACCAAAGAUUUAUUGCUGAAAGAUGGUCUCGCGUCUGAUUAGCUAGUUGGUGAGGUAACCGGCUCACCAAGGCGACGAUCAGUAGCCGGUCUGAGAGGAUGAACGGCCACAUUGGGACUGAGAUACGGCCCAGACUCCUACGGGAGGCAGCAGUGGGGAAUAUUGGGCAAUGGGCGCAAGCCUGACCCAGCAACGCCGCGUGAAGGAAGAAGGCUUUCGGGUUGUAAACUUCUUUUGUCAGGGACGAACAAAUGACGGUACCUGACGAAUAAGCCACGGCUAACUACGUG